UCCUUGCUAUCUCAGCUGAUAAAGGAUCUGCCUGCCAUGCAGGAGACCUGGGUUCAAUCCCUGGGUUAGGAA
rnacentral:tRNA from 1 species